rnacentral:lncRNA from 1 species
UUAAAUUAUCACCCUUAGAUUAAGCAAGAUUGAGGCACAUGAUUUGGUCUUUAUUCUUUAUCUAAGGGAGUGGUCUCUAUUGAACUCUCCCAUAUAUAUAUAUAUGGUGUGAUUCUAGAGAAAACUAUAUUAUUUGUGAGAACGUGAGAACCAUCAAAUCUAAUGCAUCCACAGUAAAAAAAUUAAUACAUUCGCUGUUAAAAUUAAUGCACUAAAAAAAAA